rnacentral:rRNA from 1 species
GACGAACGCUGGCGGCGUGCUUAACACAUGCAAGUCGAACGGAAAGGCCUCUUUCGGGGGGUACUCGAGUGGCGAACGGGUGGAGUAACACGUGAGUAACCUGCCCUUGACUUUGGGAUAACUUUCAGGAAACUGGGCUAAUACCGGAUAGGAGCUCCUGCUGCAUGGUGGGGGUUGGGAAAGUUUCGGCGGUUGGGGAUGGACUCGCGGCUUAUCAGCUUGUUGGUGGGGUAGUGGCUUACCAAGGCUUUGACGGGUAGCCGGCCUGAGAGGGUGACCGGCCACAUUGGGACUGAGAUACGGCCCAGACUCCUACGGGAGGCAGCAGUGGGGAAUAUUGCACAAUGGGUGGAAGCCUGAUGCAGCAACGCCGUGUGCGGGAUGACGGCCUUCGGUUGUAAACCGACUUCGUCUCAUGACGAAGAC